rnacentral:lncRNA from 1 species
UUCGCAAAACUUUUCUUGAAUAUAUUGUAUUUAUGUUAGAAUAUGUUAUGAAAGCAAUAACAUUAUACAACUAGUAAUUAAUAAAUAAUGAGUAGAAUAUGCAAAUCAUCAACAAAAUAUACAAGACAUAAUCAAUAAAAGAAUAACAGAAUAAUCUCCUCAAUUUGAAUAAAUGAAACCAUAAUGUUCAGAACAUUUAUAUCUUUUGUGGAGUCGCCAUUCUGUUGACAUCCCUUUUAGACGGCACAACGUCGCGGUGCCUGAAUUAAAAAAGAAUUACUUAAAUAUUAUAAAAUGAGUAAAAAGGGAAAAGAAAAUCACCACCUAAUUUUAAUGGAAAUGUAGAAACCGAUUAAUAAAUUAAUUUUAAAAAUGUCUAUGAAACCAAUUGGUUCUAGGUAAAGGGUUCAAAUUAUUCAAAAGGAAAGGGGUUAGUCAUCUUUUAUAAUCCACAAAUUUGGGUCCCGGCGAAAUUCAUUUUUUUUUAAAAUAGAGGAGAAUAAAAUAAUGUAUAAAUAAAAGAAUCAUACACUAUACACAAGUACUAUGAUAAAACAGUAAUAUAAGAAUCGACCUAAAUUUGCUUAUAGUGAACAAUAUAAAAUAUUGAAUAUGAGUAUAAUUCGAAUAACUCGGUUGUAAAGCACCUCUGAGUACCCAUAAAAACAGUUAGUAAUAAAUAAAUAUGAAUAAAAUUGACAACAAAAAUAACAAUCUAAAAAUAAAAAUCUGUCAUAUCAUCAAAGGACUUGGAAAUGGAUUGUGAUUUCUUCAUCGACGUAUUUUAACAUAUAAAAUAUAUUAACCGAAACAAAAUUUCCGUCUUUUCAAAAUUGAAAGACCUCUAAAAUCGACGAAAUAUUUUUAUCAUUGAACAUUUUAACAUAAAACAAUUCAAUAAAUCACAAAAUAUCUAAAAUUAACCUCAAACAAAAUGAGCAAACAACAUAAUAAUCAAUAACAACAUCAACAGUAACAAAUGGGGGAAAAACGAUUCACCGGAAAAUUUCUUAAAAAAAUAUAUAACAUUGACCAAAAUAAAAAUAAGAUAUUAUAAAAAGCUAUAACAACGAUCAUAAAUAAAGCAAACAUCAACUCGUAGUCAACAAAGAAUGAAAAAUAAAUAAAAUAAUAUACUAUCUAAAAUAGUGAAUCACUAAAUAUAAACUACAAUAAAAUAGGAUCAGAAUAAGCUUAAACAAAAGAGAAAUAUACUGAAAAAUAUCAAUAACCAUGGGGUAACAGAAGAAAAUAAGAUUGUUUGAAGUUUGAGCUCUUCCAAUAAAAAGGAAAAUAAUUUUCAAAUAUAUAAAAACUGCAAACAUAUUUUAAGUAAGUAACACCAAAAAAAUUAAAAUAGAGCAGAUUUUCAAAAUACAAACAUACGAAAACAAUUUAUAUGAAAAUACAAAAGAAGGUAAAAGAUAAUGCAAUUACUAUGGAGUUUAGGUGGAAAAAGAGCUCAUUGAUGGAGUGAUGUUUUGAUUUUGCCGGAUCUGCUUGAGCUUUGGCUCACUGAUUUGCUCAGUUGUUAUUGAUGUUGUUGUUCUCUGGUAACUUGGACUUUUGCUCCAGUUUUGCUCGCUUCGCCUGACUUAAAUGUGAAAACAACUGCAAAUCCAAAUAAAAUAUGAAAAGGGAAAAAAGGAAGGGACUGGUCCGUUUAUCUUGCUAUUGCUAGCUGGAAAAAUGGGAAGAAACAAAAGGGGUUUUGGUGAUUAUUUGCUAGCGGGAAAGAGGAGGAGAAGAGAGGAUUUAAGAGUUGUUGGCUUGCUCCUGUUCAUCAGAGCUUGGAGUUCCUUGCCGGAGUUAGAAAAGAGAAAGGAGUUGGUGUUUUUUGCUCUGUUUUUCAUUGGAAUUUAGGAAGGUUUGAGGUGUGGGGGUGUCUGGAUGGUUUUUAUGGGUUUGGAGGUUUAUUAAGGGAGAACGGAGAAGAAAGAAUGGGGGUUUGAGGGCUGGCUAUUUGUCGGAGAAAGAAAAGAAAAUGGGUUUUUGGGUGGUCAUGGUUGCUGGUUAGAAAAUGAAAUGGAAAUGGAAGAGAGAAGUUUGGUUUCCAAAAUUCAUGGAUGUUGGUGGAAAAAUUGUAGUUUCACCAAAAAAUUGGGAAAAUAAAAUGGGGUUUUGGGGGGUAGACUCGCCGGAUUCAUGCAAAACUCAUGUGACCUACCACUGAAAAAUAAUGAACGAUAAAAUCAUGUAAAAUAAUCCUUAAAUUCUUAUCCACUCCCAAAUCUAUUGAGACUGAUAUUCCAUAUAUAAGGAAUUAUUUAAAAUGGUUCUCAG